rnacentral:rRNA from 1 species
GCGCAACCCUACUCAUCUGUUGCCAGCAUUUAAGGUGGGGACGUCAGAUGAGACUGCCGGUGACAAACCGGAGGAAGGUGGGGACGGACGUCAAGUCAUCAUGGCCCUUAUGUCCUGGGCUACACACGUGCUACAAUGGCCGGUACGAGAGUGAAGCGAAACCGCGAGGUGAAGCAAAACGCAGAAAGCCGGUCUCAGUACGGAUUGGAGUCUGAAACUCGACUUCAUGAAGUUGGAAUCGCUAGUAAUCGCGCAUCAGCAUGGCGCGGUGAAUACGUUCCCGGGCCUU